GCAAAGUGCUGCGCAACUGUAUUUAAUUAUAUUUCUCCGAGUGAGUGUUAAGUGAGUGCGACGAAUGAACAGUAAUCAAAGAAGAGGAGGAGAAGGUCUGGGAGGUAUCGGGUAACAGUGGAGCAAUUAUGGCAUCAAUGCAGCUAUGAUGCAAUCAUAAUUCCACUGCUGCGCGUCGUAUCGAUGGAGAAUUUUUCGGUGGAAUACAUAAGGAGCAAUAACGAUUGGGCACCGUAACCAACGCCCCGUGGACUCAUGCUGUCCCGCCGAGAAAGAGAGGGAGAGAGAAAGACAAGGAAAGAGCUUGUUUGGAAGGGGACUUGACGAAAUUGAAACGAA